rnacentral:tRNA from 1 species
GGGGCUGUGGUGUAGUUGGUAUCAUUGGCCCUUGGGGUGGGUCCGACCGGGGUUCGAAGCUUGCGAGAAUGCUCGCAAGCUCGCAUUCAACUCGCUACCGCAUCGCAAGUCCUCGCAGCCCCA